rnacentral:rRNA from 1 species
GUAUAUAAUUACAAMAUAAUGUUAAUGCACCCRAUCCCAUUGGAAAUUUGUAGUUAAGCAAGAUCRGRCUAGAGUAGUACYGGGAUGGGUGAUCACCAGAGAAGUCUUAGUAUUUUAMAUG